rnacentral:rRNA from 1 species
AGUCGUAACAAGGUAUCUGUAGGUGAACCUGCAGAUGGAUCAUUUCGAUGAAAACCUUUUUUCUUGAGGUGUGGCUCGCACCUGUCCAACUAAACUUGAGCUACCUUUUUUCAACACGGUUGCAUCGGUUGGCCUGUCAAACAGUGCGGAUUUUCCGCAGUGGGCGACGGACCGACACUUAAUCAACACUUUUGAUGAUCUAGGAUUUGAAUGAUAAAAGUUCAUUUUUACAAAUGAAACCGACUGGUAAUGCGGUCGUCUAAUUUUAAAAACAACUUUUGGCAACGGAUCUCUUGGUUCUCCCAUCGAUGAAGAACGCAGCGAAUUGCGAUAAGUAAUGUGAAUUGCAGAAGUGAAUCAUCGAAUCUUUGAACGCACCUUGCGCUCCCGGCAGAUCUAAUCUGGGGAGCAUGCCUGUUUGAGGGCCGCGAAUUGUUUCGAACGACAACUUUUUUUGUAACGAAGAGAGUUGGCGGAUCGGUAUUGAGGGUCUUGCCAUUCACCGUGGCUCCCUCGAAAUGCAUUAGCGCAUCCAUUUGAUAGGCAAGACGGACGAAAGCUCGAUUUUCGCUCUCUCUUCCCUGCCGGGUUUUGAUAAUAUCAGGACUUUAAAAGUCG